UGACAAAGAAGCAAGAAUAAUAGCACAGUAAACCCUAGAGAAGAACGACGUAGAAGAAAACUAAAAUUGGGAGGUUUUCUUGAUGAACUUACGUUGAGUGUAUUUGCUUCGUUUUGUCUUCAGAUUCUUCACGGAGAGUUUGAUGUUGUUUUGAUGGAGGUUUCGAACAACGAUUUCUAUAUUUUGAACUUUGAUUUUUGCUCGAAAUUGGGAGCGUUUCCUUGGUUUCGAAGCGUUUUGAGAAGUGGAAGAAGUGGAGGAAGUGGAAGAGUC
rnacentral:lncRNA from 1 species